rnacentral:misc_RNA from 1 species
GAACUGCGAUAAGUAAUGUGAAUUGCAGAAUUCAGUGAAUCAUCGAGUCUUUGAACGCACAUUGCGCCCCCUGGCAUUCCGGGGGGCAUGCCUGUCCGAGCGUCAUUGCUGCCCUUCAAGCCCGGCUUGUGUGUUGGGUCGUCGUCCCCUCCGGGGGACGGGCCCGAAAGGCAGCGGCGGCACCGCGUCCGGUCCUCGAGCGUAUGGGGCUUUGUCACCCGCUCGAUAAGGACCGGCCGGGCGCCAGCCGGCGUCUCCAACCUUUUUUUCUCAGGUUUACCUCGGAUCAGGUAGGGAUACCCGCUGAACUUAAGC